GAUAAUUUUUCUUGUUAUUUCUCAUUUUCACUAUCAUUAUAUUUUUUUUAUUUUUUCUAACCAUUAUUAAUAUGUUCAAUUGAAGUUUCAUUUUGUCCAAAAUAUUUACUCAAGCAACACACUCUCAAACAAAAAGGAAAAACCCCAUCAAAAAGAUCCCAAAACAGACCAAAAACACACCCAAGGCCCAAAAAUUCGAAAAAGCCCAACUGCCAGAAAACAGAACUUGUGUCAUUCACCACUAAUAGAUGUU
rnacentral:lncRNA from 1 species